rnacentral:rRNA from 1 species
UACGAAGGGGGCUAGCGUUGCUCGGAAUCACUGGGCGUAAAGGCGCGUAGGCGGCCAUUCAAGUCGGGGGUGAAAGCCCAGGGCUCAACCCUGGAAUUGCCUUCGAUACUGUUGGCUAGAGACCGGAAGAGGUUAGUGGAACUGCGAGUGUAGAGGUGAAAUUCGUAGAUAUUCGCAAGAACACCAGUGGCGAAGGCGGCUAACUGGUCCGGUUCGUGACGCUGA